UGUUAAAAUUUUAUCCAUUUUUAUUAUUAAAAAUUGAUGUACUUGACAGAAUAAUCAAACAGUUACACAUGAUGUGUCAUGUAUACUUCAUGUUGAUGUACAAGGACCAAUUUUUUAAUAGUAGAAAUAGAUAAUAGGAUCAAUU
rfam:Gossypium arboreum cultivar AKA8401 contig_3913_9, whole genome shotgun sequence.